rnacentral:rRNA from 2 species
GCACCUUCGGGUGUGAGUAGAGUGGCGCACGGGUGAGUAACGCGUAGGUAAUCUGCCUCAUAGCGGGGGAUAACCAGGAGAAAUUCUGGCUAAUACCGCAUACGAUCUACGACAUGGAAAAAGUAGAUGAAAGAAUGCCUCUCCUUGGAAGCAUUUACUAUGAGAUGAGCCUGCGUUGCAUUAGCUUGUUGGUGGGGUAACGGCCUACCAAGGCAACGAUGCAUAGCUGGUCUGAGAGGACGAUCAGCCACACUGGAACUGAGACACGGUCCAGACUCCUACGGGAGGCAGCAGUGGGGAAUAUUGCGCAAUGGGGGAAACCCUGACGCAGCAAUGCCGCGUGAGUGAGGAAGGCCUUCGGGUUGUAAAGCUCUGUCAAAUAGGAAGAAUUCCUCUGGGUCCAAUAGGCCUAGAGAUUGACGGUACUAUUAAAGGAAGCACCGGCUAACUUCGUGCCAGCAGCCGCGGUAAUACGAAGGGUGCAAGCGUUGUUCGGAUUUACUGGGCGUAAAGCGCGCGCAGGCGGAUUUAUAAGCCAGAUGUGAAAUCUCGGGGCUCAACCCCGAAACUGCGUCUGGAACUGUAGAUCUAGAGUUAUGGAGGGGAGAGCGGAAUUUCGCAUGUAGGGGUAAAAUCCGUAGAGAUGCGAAGGAACACCAGAGCCGAAGGGGGCUCUCUGGCCAUCAACUGACGCUGAGGCGCGAAAGCGUGGGGAGCAAACAGGAUUAGAUACCCUGGUAGUCCACGCCGUAAACGAUGAGUACUAGAUAUUGGGGGUUUGACCCUCUCAGUGUCAAAGCUAACGCAUUAAGUACUCCGCCUGGGAAGUACGGUCGCAAGACUAAAACUCAAGGAAUUGACAGGGGCCCGCACAAGCGGUGGAUUAUGUGGUUUAAUUCGAAGCAACGCGCAGAACCUUACCUGGGCUUG